CCUACGGGGGGCAGCAGUGAGGAAUAUUGGUCAAUGGGCGCGAGCCUGAACCAGCCAAGUAGCGUGAAGGAUGACUGCCCUACGGGUUGUAAACUUCUUUUAUAAAGGAAUAAAGUGAGGCACGUGUGCCUUUUUGAAAGUAUUUUACGAAUAAGGAUCGGCUAACUCCGUGCCAGCAGCCGCGGUAAUACGGAGGAUCCGAGCGUUAUCCGGAUUUAUUGGGUUUAAAGGGAGCGUAGAUGGGUUGUUAAGUCAGUUGUGAAAGUUUGGGGCUCAACCGUAAAAUUGCAAUUGAUACUGGCAGUCUUGAGUACAGGUGAGGUAGGCGGAAUUCGUGGUGUAGCGGUGAAAUGCUUAGAUAUCACGAAGAACUCCGAUUGCGAAGGCAGCUUACUAGACUGCCACUGACAUUGAUGCACGAAAGUGUGGGUAUCAAACAGGAUUAGAUACCCCUGUAGUC
rnacentral:rRNA from 1 species